rnacentral:lncRNA from 1 species
GGUUCAUAGGAGGUUACAAGUGAGUAGAUCAUGUCUAUUUUACAUAUUUAUUCAAUUCAAUGUUUGAGGUUGUGAUGGACCAAAGUGUUAAAUAUCUAAUUUAAGUUUGGCUACCAAAAAAAUUUAAAAAGAAAAGGCCACAAUCGCGUGCAACUACCAUGAACCUACCUCACAUACUUCUGAGGAAGAGGAUCAACUUUCUUAAUAUGAGGAUAGUAUAAUAAAGCCAGCGUUUUACUAAACAUUUAUAAUCCAGUCACACUUAUGAUUUACUGAAUGGUUGGCCAAAGAUCAGAGGACUUUUGAACCAAUUUAUUUAUCUUCAAUGUCGAUAUUGAAAGGGAAGAAAUGAGGCAGAAUGCCUGUAGGUAUCAAAAAGAGAAAUAUUAGUUUAUUUCCAGUAUGUACGUGUAUUAUUCUGUCUAAAGCCAUUUGAGGCACAAAGUAACAAGAAAAAGAGCUUUAAGAAACUUACCAGUUAGUAGAAGAUAAGGGAGCACAUAGACUACGAAAUCAUGCCUUCCUCUUCAUCCUACUUCCCUUCUUUUUUCUUUCUUCCUAUCCAUUUGCUUCUUUAGUUAAUUCAUUUAUUUUAUUUUUUCAUUGCCUCACAAGUCUGUCAAUAUUUCAGCUCAUACUUUCCUUGGGAAAGAAAAGAACCACCAAGGAAAUAUUUGCCACAAUUUUUGCUUGGAAUCUACUAUCUCGAUAAAGUUAGACAAACAGCAUUAGAUAUGCAUGCUACUUGCUAUCUUCUCACUUCUUGAGAUGCAAAAUGCAACACGGUCAUCCAUACUUGUAACCUGCGAAGUUUCAUUUAAUUGUUCUAUAAUCGGCACAUAUGUAAAUAGAGACGCUUGCUAUAUUCAUAACAUGGCUAUUACAACUCAUAAUAUGGCUUUGCUGAUUUUCGACCCCAUAUGGUGCAUGAAAAAGUGUUAGAAAGUGUCCACAGCAGCCACUGAGGUGCUCAGCUGAGCAGAAACAGACCCUCAGGCUCCUCCCUAGGAACUAGAGAAAUGAAAGACGGAAAGCAUACUUGAAAAGCAAAGUUAAAAUGCUGGCUGUAAAACCUUUAUCAAAAUGGCAUAGCUAUGUAUAACAAAGAAAGUUCAAAAAAUGAUAGUAAUAACUCAAUGACAACAAAUUUUAAU